GAUGAACGCUAGCUACAGGCUUAACACAUGCAAGUCGAGGGGCAUCGGGAGAGUAGCUUGCUAUUCUUGCCGGCGACCGGCGCACGGGUGAGUAUCGCGUAUCCAACCUGCCCAUAAGUAGGGAAUAGCCUUGCGAAAGUAAGAUUAAUGCCCUAUGGUUUCCAUUAAAGACAUCUGAGAUGGAAUAAAGAUUUAUCGCUUAUGGAUGGGGAUGCGUCUGAUUAGGUAGUAGGCGGGGUAACGGCCCACCUAGCCGACGAUCAGUAGGGGUUCUGAGAGGAAGGUCCCCCACAUUGGAACUGAGACACGGUCCAAACUCC
rnacentral:rRNA from 1 species